rnacentral:rRNA from 1 species
GACGAACGCUGGCGGCGUGCCUAAUACAUGCAAGUAGAACGCACAGUUUAUACCGUAGCUUGCUACACCAUAAACUGUGAGUUGCGAACGGGUGAGUAACGCGUAGGUAACCUGCCUGGUAGCGGGGGAUAACUAUUGGAAACGAUAGCUAAUACCGCAUAAUAUUGAUUAUUGCAUGAUAAUUGAUUGAAAGAUGCUAUUGCAUCACUACCGGAUGGACCUGCGUUGUAUUAGCUAGUAGGUGAGGUAACGGCUCACCUAGGCGACGAUACAUAGCCGACCUGAGAGGGUGAUCGGCCACACUGGGACUGAGACACGGCCCAGACUCCUACGGGAGGCAGCAGUAGGGAAUCUUCGGCAAUGGACGAAAGUCUGACCGAGCAACGCCGCGUGAGUGAAGAAGGUUUUCGGAUCGUAAAGCUCUGUUGUAAGAGAAGAACGGGUGUGAGAGUGGAAAGUUCACACUGUGACGGUAUCUUACCAGAAAGGGACGGCUAACUACGUG